UACGUAGGGUCCGAGCGUUGUCCGGAAUUACUGGGCGUAAAGAGCUCGUAGGCGGCUUGUCACGUCGGGUGUGAAAGCCCGGGGCUUAACCCCGGGUCUGCAUUCGAUACGGGCUGGCUAGAGUGUGGUAGGGGAGAUCGGAAUUCCUGGUGUAGCGGUGAAAUGCGCAGAUAUCAGGAGGAACACCAAUGGCGAAGGCAGCUCGCUGGGACGGUACUGACGCUGAGACGCGAAAGCGUGGGGAGCAAACAGG
rnacentral:rRNA from 1 species